rnacentral:pre_miRNA from 1 species
GUAGUACUCCCUCCGUCCGGAAAUACUUGUCGUAAAAAUGAAUAUAAAUGGAUGUAUUUAAAACUAAAAUACAUCUAGAUACAUCCAUUCCUUGGACAAGUAUUUCCGGACGGAAGGAGUAUUAU